rnacentral:rRNA from 1 species
AAUCAACGCUGGCGGCGCGCUUAACACAUGCAAGUCGCACGAGAAAGGGAGCAAUCCUGAGUAUAGUGGCGCACGGGUGAGUAACACGUGGAUGAUCUACCUCCUUGUGGGGAAUAACCCUGGGAAACCGGGGCUAAUACCGCAUACGUCCGAGAGGAGAAAGCCGAAAGGCGCAGGGAGAGGAGUCCGCGGUCGAUUAGCUAGUUGGCAGGGUAAUGGCCUACCAAGGCGACGAUCGAUAGCCGGCCUGAGAGGGCACACGGCCACACUGGCACUGAAACACGGGCCAGACUCCUACGGGAGGCAGCAGUGGGGAAUCUUGCACAAUGGGGGAAACCCUGAUGCAGCGACGCCGCGUGAACGAUGAAGCCCUUCGGGGUGUAAAGUUCUUUCGACGGGGACGAUAAUGACGGUACCCGGAGAAGAAGCUGCGGCUAACUACGUGCCAGCAGCCGCGGU